GAUGAACGCUGGCGGCGUGCCUAAUACAUGCCAGUCGAGCGAACAGACGAGGAGCUUGCUCCUCUGACGUUAGCGGGGGACGGGUGAGUAACACGUGGAUAACCUACCUAUAAGACUGGGAUAACUUCGGGAAACCGGAGCUAAUACCGGAUAAUAUAUUGAACCGCAUGGUUCAAUAGUGAAAGACGGUUUUGCUGUCACUUAUAGAUGGAUCCGCGCCGCAUUAGCUAGUUGGUAAGGUAACGGCUUACCAAGGCAACGAUGCGUAGCCGACCUGAGAGGGUGAUCGGCCACACUGGAACUGAGACACGGUCCAGACUCCUACGGGAGGCAGCAGUAGGGAAUCUUCCGCAAUGGGCGAAAGCCUGACGGAGCAACGCCGCGUGAGUGAUGAAGGUCUUCGGAUCGUAAAACUCUGUUAUUAGGGAAGAACAAAUGUGUAAGUAACUAUGCACGUCUUGACGGUACCUAAUCAGAAAGCCACGGCUAACUACGUG
rnacentral:rRNA from 1 species